rnacentral:antisense_RNA from 1 species
GCUCACAACGCUCUUGCGUCAUAGUUAAACAAAUUAAGCCACGGCCAUGAGUGGCCAUAAAGUUAAUUGCUUCGGCGCUAAUGUGCUCUGCUGCAAUGAUU